GACGUAGGGCGCGAGCGUUGUCCGGAAUUAUUGGGCGUAAAGAGCUCGUAGGCGGUUUGUUGCGUCGGCUGUGAAAUCCCGAGGCUCAACCUCGGGUCUGCAGUCGAUACGAGCAAACUAGAGUGUUGCAGGGGAGACUGGAAUUCCUGGUGUAGCGGUGAAAUGCGCAGAUAUCAGGAGGAACACCGGUGGCGAAGGCGGGUCUCUGGGCAACAACUGACGCUGGAGGAGCGAAAGCCGUGGGGAGCGAACAGG
rnacentral:rRNA from 1 species